UACGUAGGGGGCAAGCGUUGUCCGGAAUUAUUGGGCGUAAAGAGCUCGUAGGCGGUUCCGUAAGUCAGAUGUGAAAACUCAGGGCUCAACCCGGAGACGCCAUCUGAUACUGCGGUGACUGGAGUCUGGUAGGGGAACACGGAAUUCCUGGUGUAGCGGUGAAAUGCGCAGAUAUCAGGAGGAACACCGAUGGCGAAGGCAGUGUUCUGGGCCAGUACUGACGCUGAGGAGCGAAAGCGUGGGGAGCGAACAGG
rnacentral:rRNA from 1 species